rnacentral:lncRNA from 1 species
GUACUAUAUUUGUGAUACAUAUUUUCAUGUAAAUAUUGCUUUUCAUGUUCUCUGCCUUUACAAAUUAGAGUUCAUGUCAACAAAUAUGUAUGCUUUUGCUGAAGUCAACUAGUUGAGAAGGUUUUAUUGAGUUGUAUAUGCUACAUUCUUGGCAGUGUCACUACUUGCUAGGAGUACAUCCUGUUAAAACUGUAGAAGCAUGGACAUGGACAUAGAAAACAGAUUCGACUUGAAGGGGCAUAUGGCACAGCAAUCUUGAGGAAGUAGGAUGUGAACCUUUGUGGAAUUGUUGAUAAUUAAAUGAGUGAGAGGGGUUAAUGUCUCUGAUACAAAUAAAUUUCAUAUGUAUGAGAAUGAAAGCAUAAAUAUAAUCUGUAUUUCUGUGUGUUUUAAUUCAUAAUACAAGCCUCAAUAUAUGGUACAAUGAAGAAAAAGAAAAAAGAAAAAAAAUUUCCUAAAUUAGGAGAAGAAAAUUAAUCCUAAAAUAACAAUCUUAAUUAUAGCAAGUCUAAAUAAGGUAAUGUGUAAAUAUGACAAUUCAUGAAAUCUUCAAGAUUUAUCACACUCCCCCUUAAGUUGGAUGGUAAAUGUUGACCAUUUCCAACUUGCAUAUGAAAUUGUCAAAACUUUGUCUGGCCAAUCCCUUGGUGAAUAUAUCUGCGAUUUGCUCCUUAGUAGGGACAUAAGUCAUGCAGAUAACUCCAUCUUCAACCUUUUCCUUAAAUGAAGUGUUUGUCCGCUUCUCUGUGCUUGGUCCUAUCAUGCUGAACCGGAUUGAGAGAAAUGUUGAUGGUUGCCUUGUUAUCACAAUAGAACUUGAUGGGAAGUUCUAGUAUGAUUUGCAGUUCUUUCAAGAGUUUCUUUAACCACAAUCCUUCGCAUAUUCCUUGAGCAACUGCUCUGAACUGUGCUUCAGCACUGCUUCUUGCCACUACAUUUUGUUUUUUACUCUUCCACAUCACCAAGUUUCCCCAUACAAAUGUACAAUAACCUGUAAUGGAUCUUCUAUCAUCUGUUGAGCCUGGUUAGUCUGCAUCUGUGAAUAUUUCCACUUUCUUUCUCUCAUUCUUCUUAAAAAAUAGUCCUUUCCCUGAUGUGCCUUUGAGAUAUCUUAGAAUUCUGUAUACUGGUUCCAUAUGGCUUUCCUUUGGGCUAUGCAUAUGUUGGCUUACCGCACUUACCACAAAGACAAUAUCAGGUCUAGUAUGAGAUAAGUAGAUCAGUUUUUCAACAAGUUGUUGGUAUCUGUCUUUUUCAACUGGGUUUCCACUGUCUUUUUCAACUGGGUUUCCACUGUCUUCUGUUUUCUUUCCUGCCUCUAUAGGUGUAUCACUUGGCUUAUAUCCAAGCAUGUCAAUUUCUAUUAGGAGGUCAUGAAUAUAUUUCUGUUGUGAAACACUGAUUCCUCCUUUUGAUUUUGCUACUUCCAUUCCUAAGUAUCGCAUUUGUUCCAGGUCUUUCACUUCAAAUUCACUUGCUAGACUUUUCUUAAAUCUUUCUAUCUCCCGUGUAUUGUGUCCUGUGAUGAUUAUAUUAUCGACGUUUACUAUCAAGAUGGUCUUAGUCCCGUUUUCCAAUUGUCGAAAGAACAUGGUGUGAUCUGAUUGUCCUUGCUGGUAACCUUGGUCCUUAAAUACUUUUGCAAAUUUGUCAAACCAUGCUCUAGGUGACUGCUUUAGACCAUACAAAGAUUUCUUGAGUUUACAUACCCUAUUUUUCUUAUUACCAUUCUCAAACCCCGGUGGUAAUGUCAUGAAGACUUCCUCUUCUAGUCCCCAUUAAGGAAUGCAUUUUUGAUAUCCAAUUAUUGGAGAGGCCAGUCUAAGUUAGCUGCCAAAGAGAGCAAGACUCUGAUGGUAUUCAAUUUUGCCAUCGGUGCAAAUGUCUCAAUGUAGUAAAUGCCAUAUAUUUGUGUGUAUCCUUUUGCCACCAAACGAGCUUUAUAUCGUUUUAUUGUUCCAUCAGCUUUAUACUUCACAUUAAAGACUCAUUUGCAACCUACUGGUUUCUUUCCUCUCGACAAAUCCAUCACCUCCCAAGUUUCAUUUUUCUCCUGUGCUUUCAUUUCCUCCAUCACUGCUCUUCUCCAGUUAGUUGUAUUCAAAGCUUCCUGAAUAUUCUUUGGAAUCACUGUAUUGUCAAGAUUAGAUGUAAAAGUACGAAAACUUGUAGAGAGAGCAUUAUAGGAUAUGAACUUUGAAAUAGGGUGAAGAAUACAUGACCGAGUUUGUUUUCUGAGUGCAAUAGGUAUAUUGAUAUUUGGGAUUUCUGACUCAUAGGAUUCUGGAGCUAUCAUCGGUUCUGAUUCUUUUGGUGCUUCGGGUGUGAGGUCCUUCUUGUACUUUGACUUUGGCCUCUGUGAGUAAACCAACAUCUCCCAAUCAUUUUGUUUUUUCUAUGUCUCCCCCUGAGUUUAUGUUUUCGUCUAUAUAUGGUACUUUAGAGUUAGGUUGUGUAGCAGGGUCGACAUUUGGGGUAGGAAAGAUAGAGAUGUCAGAGUAAAAAAAUCUAUGUUCAUUCAAACUCUUCCCUGAAGAGAGUGUUUUUGGAAGUAGGGUGUCAUUUCAAAGAAUGUAACGUCAAGGCUAACAAAUGUUUUCUUGGUGGAUGGAUCAUAACAUUUGUACCCCUUUUGAGUAGGUGAGUAUCCACACAUUUGAUUGCUCGAGGAUCAAGUUUACUUCGACGGUUGGGAUGAAUAUGGACAAAUAAAGUACAACCAAAAACGUUGAGAGGUAUGUUUGAGUUUAGACGAGAAUUUGGAAAUGAACUCUGAAGUCUUUGGAUAGGUAAUUCAAAGGAAAGGGGACGACUGGGCAUUCGAUUGAUUUGGUGGGUUGCUAUCAGAAUAGCAUCUCCCUAGAACAUUUUUGGCAUAUUGGUAGUGAAUAUCAGAGCACGCGCUACUCCUAGAAGAUGUCUAUUCUUUCGUUCAGCAAUCUUGAGGAAGUAGGAUGUGACCCUUUGUGGAAUUGUUGACAACUAAAUGAGUGAGAGGGGUUAAUGUCUGUGAUACAAAUAAAUUUCAUAUGUAUGAGAAUGAAAGCACAAUUAUAAUCUGUAUUUUUGUGUGUUUUAAUUCAUAAUACAAGCCUCAAUAUAUAGUACAAUGAAGAAAGAAAAAAGGAAAAAAAAUUUCCUAAAUUAGGAAAGGAAAUUAAUAACAAUCUUAAUUACAUCAAGUCUAAAUAAGGUAAUGUGGAAAUAUGGUAAUUCAUGAAAUCUUCAAGAUUUCUCACUCUCCCC